GCCCAAGUAGCUCAGUGGUAGAGCACCUCCUUGGUAAGGAGGGGGUCACCAGUUCAAUCCUGGUCUUGGGCUCCA
rnacentral:tRNA from 1 species